rnacentral:sRNA from 1 species
ACCCACUUCCUGCGUCUCGGAAACAUGCGUUCCGCCGCAGGGCUGGCUGUCGAUCGAUGAA